rnacentral:piRNA from 1 species
UGGUGACUGAACAGGAAUCCUUCCCUAUU